rnacentral:rRNA from 1 species
AGAGUUUGAUCAUGGCUCAGAACGAACGCUGGCGGCGUGGAUAAGACAUGCAAGUCGAGCGCUGAUUGCAGGGUAGCAAUAUUCUGUAGUCGGAGCGGCGAAGGGUGCGUAACACGUGGGUAAUUUGCCGUGAAGUUGGGAAUAACUCGCUGAAAGGCGAGCUAAUACCGAAUGUGAUUGCAGGAGGACAUCCUUCAGCAAUUAAAGUUGGGGACCGCAAGCUGACGCUUUACGAUGAGCCCGCGGCCUAUCAGCUAGUUGGUGAGGUAACAGCUCACCAAGGCUAAGACGGGUAGCUGGUCUGAGAGGACGACCAGCCACACUGGAACUGAGACACGGUCCAGACACCUACGGGUGGCAGCAGUCGAGAAUUUUUCUCAAUGGGCGAAAGCCUGAAGGAGCGACGCCGCGUGGGGGAUGAAUGGCUUCGGCCCGUAAACCCCUGUCAUUUGCGAACAAACCUUUCCACCUAAUAUGUGGAGAGCUGAUUGUAGCGAAAGAGGAAGGGACGGCUAACUCUGUGCCAGCAGCCGCGGUAAUACAGAGGUCCCAAGCGUUGUUCGGAUUCACUGGGCGUAAAGGGUGCGUAGGCGGUCGGGUAAGUCUGGUGUGAAAUCCCGCAGCUCAACUGCGGAAUGGCACUGGAUACUAUUCGGCUGGAGGGUUGGAGGGGGGACUGGAAUUCUCGGUGUAGCAGUGAAAUGCGUAGAUAUCGAGAGGAACACCAGUGGCGAAGGCGAGUCCCUGGACAACUCCUGACGCUGAGGCACGAAAGCUAGGGGAGCAAACAGGAUUAGAUACCCUAGUAGUCC